UGAAACGAACGAUCUUCUUUUCAGUUUGAAUAUAGAAAGAUCUAUAUUUGAUUGUUUCGUGUAAAAUACAUACACGAUAUUUUCUAUCGGUCAGGUGAAUUCAUAAAAUUUGCUUAUUUAAUAUACUAAUUAACGUUUACGUAACUAAACUAUAACACGCAUAUUUAAUAUAACCGAUGACGUCAGGUAAGCGCUCUUAAAAUGGCGUCGGAUAAACGAAAUAUUAAGAAAUUCAGUAAAAAUUGCGCUGUCGGUCAAUCGGAAACUUGGUCGGAAAAUACCGGACGAACGAGAGGGAGGAUUUCUUCUAGUUUUGGGGGUGGCGAGGUAAAGAUGACGUUCGAUUUUAGAAAAUCUCGCUUCUAACCCCUGGUGGAGAAUGGAAACCGAAGGCGGAGGGCGGUAGGGAGAGUCUCGAUCCCAAUCCGUCGUCACUCGGGGGAUAGAAACGUGAAAAAUGCAGAUAUUUAGCCUUAAAAUUCAAAAAGAAUCCAUGACGUCAAUCGCAUUCGAAUUCGUUGCGAGCUUUCUAAUCUCGCAACAAUUGCCGUUUCUAUGGAAACGCGUAUUGUUGCAACACGAUUUUGCGUCACUUUGCACGUUUUUCGCUUGCUGGACGGACGUGUACGCUCUUUGCUCUUGUUUCUGCUGUGUUUUUUACCUUUUUUCAGUGUUUUUGCUACCCGAACGUGGUUUUAAGAAGACUUGUGGACGCCGACAUUACACCAAGUAAGAUUUUAAUUAGAAUUUAGCUAGUUGUAAGAUUUUAUUUUCGUUUCGUUUAGUCCAACUUUCGGAGACGACAUCGGCCGACUCGGACUUUGUAUAUUUGCGUUUAAAUCUGCCGUCGCUUGUGUUUUUCGUUUGAAUUACCAUCCGAAACGUACCUCUUUCGACUUUUAAAUGAGCCGCCACAUUGGAAAGCGACCGAAGCGCCGAAAACGACGGACGCAAAGGAUUAAAAUGAAGAGCUGGCGGUUUUGGCGUUGGCUGCGGCCCAAGAAGAUGAAGAAGUGUGAAGGGCGUUCUCCUUCCGCAAUCGAUGAAGAGAGGGUCUUUUCCCCCUUUGAGCGGGGAGAGGAACUCUCUUCCAUCGAUUGCGGAAGGGGUUCUUCCUUCACGGGAUCGCCUUCGGGAAUAGCGGAUGUCGACAGCAUUCUCUGUUCCGCGUUGAACGGAGAGGAGACAUUUCGCCAUUCGGACGUGUUCCGAAAGGUGAAAUGUCUCCAUGUUGACGACAUCAUCUUUGACGCACUGGGAGGGGAGGAAUGUUUCGAUCAUUCCUCCCUUUUCCAACGAGUGGGAUCCUCUCGUUCGGUGUGGGCAAAGAUGGAAAGGAAAAAGCGUCGCUUCGUAAGAGAAGUGAACGACUUUUUCCUUUGCUAUUUCUGAAGGAUAUUACUAACCUAGGAUAAGAAGGCAAGAGGUUUUUUUCGUUUGUUUUUUCCUCUUGUCAUACUAACAACAUUUAAAUUUAAGGUUUUAGUUUCAAUUUACUAACGUAGGAUAAGAAGGCAAGAGGUUUUUUUCGUUUGUUUUUUCCUCUUGUCAU
rnacentral:misc_RNA from 1 species